rnacentral:lncRNA from 1 species
CCGUCGAAGUGUGCAGUAGUGUUUCCAACCCUUUCCAAUUUCAUAGUGUAAUUUAGGGCUUUUCAACGAAUGCAUUAGUGCAUUUCCAUAUAUGUCCCACAUCAUCAGUAAAAUAAAAAUUCCUUGUGUCCAUUGAAAGAAUCAACUCCAAAUAACGAUCAUAAGUUAGCGUAUGCGAUGAAGGAAAUAUAAACAUACUAACUGGUUAGAAUAUCAU